UUAAUUCUUAUUAUUAUUUUUUAUUGGGCCCAAUAAUUAGAGGGAACUUAUAGGGAAAGCCCAUGUUGGAGCACCAGAACUGCUUGAGGCUGGGCCUAAGGCUUGGAAACUCGAAGGUGUAAUGUCUUACUUUUACUAUUAUUUUAAUUGAAAAGCAAAACAAAAUCAAUUUCCCUCCAUUUCACUUUUACACAACUGCCACUCUCCCCUCCAUUACAAAUUCAACGAUUUCUCUUUGCUAGAAACGAAACAGCUAUCUCUUCUCGAGACGAUAAGGACGUGAAGGGGAGAGACAAAGACAAGAGAUGAUGCAGGAACGACCCCUCAAAGGAAGCAGUGAUGUGAGGGCUUGAGAAAUGGAGUUAAUUUUAUGAACCUUGUCUUAAUAUUUUGACUCAAAAAUGGGUUCUGAGAGCUCCGAAGUAGACAAAACUGAACCUUUAGCUCUACGCCAGGAACAGAGGCAAUUCAUAAAGCAAGCAAUCGAUUCGAGGUACCAUCUUGCAGCAGCUCAUGUUUCUUACAUUAACUCUCUUAGAAACAUCGGUGUAGCUCUCCGGCGAUUCUCUGAAGCAGAGGUCUCGAUAUAAUCUUCUCUGUCAACAAUCUCAGCCACCAAGCUUGACAAGUCUCCAUCACAUUCUUCAUACCCCUCUCCCUCUCACUAUGCAGAGUUCUCAGAUUCACCAUUGAAUUUCGAGAGUCCAAUGUCACUUUUCUUUUUGAACUGUUAACUUAAAUAGUUCAUCUCAUUUUUUUCCCGUAGUUUCAUAAAAGCCGGAUUGAAGAUCUCUAACAAUGGUUCUCAUGCUUCCUUUGCUAGUGCCAUAAAUGAUUCUGUUUUCAAGGUUAGUAUUCUUUAUGCAUCCAAGGGCUCACAGAUGAUACCUUAGGUAAUUUAGCACUUGAGAAACUUCCAUUUUGGAAUUUUCCAUGUUUCUUAAUGCUUUUCAUGGUGACUUGCAGUUCUGGGUAUUGCUUAGAUAGUGCUCCAACUUUUUUAUCAUCUAAAGAUGAAUAACCUGUAGAAGGCGAUGUUCUUUUACAAGAAAUGCGGGCUACACUCCUUUCCUUUCUGGUUAACAAAGAAAAGGCACCGUUGUGUGGUGUGGAGAACCUGGAGUUUGUUCCACUCUCAAAUCAAGAGAAAAGGGCAAAAACCUUUUCACUUCCUAACCAGGAUAACUCAAGGAAGGCUGUCCCAAUUUCUUAUGGGCAUGACUCACUAGGGGCAGUUCGAAGUUCUCGGGUGAAAUCAGUGAUACCAAUUUCCAUGCAGGAAGUGGAAGUUCCUUUUGCUAUAGUUUUUUAGGAAGAUGAACCAAUUCCUGCGAGUAGUUUGGAAGUCCCAGAGGAACCAAGUACAACCUCCCACGCAGUAGAGAUGGGUGCUUGUAAAGGUUCUCUGCUGACGAGGUCUCUACUAUCGAGAACCUAUCGUGCUAAGCAGCUACGUCACUCAUCAAUUCUAACAAAUCCAGUGAUAAUCAUUCUCUUAGUGGUACUGCAGAAUUAGAAUCGGACGGCACCAAGUGUGUUGACUUACUUUUUUCAGAUAAAUCUUAUGUGGCAAAUAAGAGAGUAAUGUCUGUGUCAGUUGAGUCUGGUUAUUAAAUUUAAGCCAGGUGUGUCUUUCUCCUGAAAGUCCACAUUGAGAAUAUUGUUAUUUUUCACAGUUCGUUCAUUUUAUUAUGGAAAUGACACAUGUUGCUCUUCUUUCACUUUAUUUCUAUGUUUGCUUGCCGCCCUGCCAUGCUUUCUGUUUCCGCGCCGUGAAGCAUGCUUCCCUGGUUUUGAUCCACCGACCCAGUUUUAUAGUUUAAAGAUUUCGACAUUGUCGCAGCCCAAUUAUCACGCAGAAGCAAUUUUCUGCGUAACGAGGAUUGAAAUGCACACAUUCUUGUGCUCCAAUUAUUUUCUCAGUGACCCUUGUUGGGGAGCGUCCACUGGUAUGGAGGAUGGGUGGCCUGCGUCAUGUUCAUGGUUGUCAAGGAACUGCAGUUUCUAAACCCGUAUGCUGUAUCUAUUGAUCUUCACUUUGUAAGGAUGAUUAGUCAUGGACAGAAAAAUCCU